rnacentral:lncRNA from 1 species
AACGCUGUGUCACAUGACCAUCAUAGCCUGAUUGACUCCCACACUCCGUAGAGUCUUUGGAGAAAACUAGAAGCUGGGACUAUCAGAGAUCAGGAUGUUCAGGGGUCACUAGCGCUGGUCAUGUAACACAGAAGUCACCCAGCUGACCCUCAGCCAUCUGAAAGAGAAUGACAAUGAGGCAAUUUAGAAAUGUCAUGCAGGGCCCAAGUUAUCUAUUAAUAUCUUCAACUGAAUACAACAGAAUUUUCAAAUGUCAGUCUCCUCCAUUAAAUUGAUCUGCCACCAGGCAGUACAAGAGAAAGUAAAAUUGUUUCAAAUUGUUCAGGAUCCAGACUCCUUCACUCUUUCUCUUCCACCAUUUUUUUAGGGUUUAGCUCCGAUUCUCAAAAUGGGGUCAGUAUCACUACAUGGCUGCUGCAAUCCUCCAUCAUCCAGGUUCUAGGCAGUAGGACGGAGAUAGAGUCAAAGCUCCAACCCAUGGCUCUUUCUAGAGAUUGUAUCAAUAAUUUCCCUGUAUAUCUCAUUGGCUGUUCUUACAUAACACGAGAAGGCUAGUCUCCUAUCAGAAUAGCCACUGUAAAGUCCACAGGCAUUUUGAAGGAAAACAGAGAAAUUUGUGAGACAAAAGGACAGUCUAAGCAAGUAAGAAAUGAGUGCAGUGGUUAAUUCUGGGAACAGUGCAGACUGCUCCCUCCUGAGCUGUAGGGUGCUGAGGCUGUCCGAGAAGCUUAGAAGGAAAAGUUCAUCAAAGAUAGGGAAAUAGAAUUGAAACGAGUUAGCUUGAAUAACUUGUAUAAUCUACCCUUGCAUGAGUUUAUUAUUGUGUGCCAAAGGCAUUAAAAAAAGGGAGAACCAGAAAUGUAAGAAGAAAAAGAACUCUCUCCUUGUUCCUCCUCUCCCUCUUCUACUCUUUCCUCUUUCACAAAGCUCCAGAAGGAGGGACCCCACCCCCAUCUCCCCGCAUCUCCAGAAUCAAAGGCAGAUGUUGCAAGAUUAACAUUUCUUAUGCUGGUCCUCCUGCAUUUUCUCCAAGGAAGCCCCAUGCUCCAGCCACAGCAGUGGCCCAAGUCCAGACCUCCUCCAUGAGGUGGCACCAUAUUGAAAGCAGAGUUAAUCUUCUUACCCUUCAUUCCUGUGCUCCAUAAAAAAAACCAAACUUGUACAUAACAGCACCUUUCCAAGGGCUGGGUGGCCUCCAGAGUCUGGCUUCUCUGGCUUAGCUUCCACUAUUCAUGUCCUUGGCCAACACAUGACUGUCCCCUUGUAUGUUUGCUGAGCCUGCCUCCUCCACCAGGCCUGUGCUCCCUUUGUUAUAUUCCUAUUCUGUCCCCUGUUUUCCACUUAUCAUUUGCUCUAGUCUCGUCCAUUUCAAGUGCUAUUCAAACCAAGGGCAUUCUCUGAGCAAGCUGUGAAACAUACACCCCCCCCCAGCCCACCCCUGAUGCUGCUCCAAGGCUUCGUGGCUACUUACCAACUUGAGAAUGGGCAGUAACCACCUCAUUGUCCCUGACCUCCACCCACCCGUGAGCAGAUUGUAGGGACAAUCUCCUUUGUCUACUGCUGCCUGCAGUGCCUGGAACACAUCCAAAGCCAGAGUGAGGGUCAGGAACAUCUGCAGAGAUCCAGCUGCUCUGGGGACAGCAUUGCCACAUUUUGUUUUCUCCUUUUUGUCCUUCUCUGCUGUAGCAGCUGUCUAGCACCCUUCAGGAGCAAGGGGCAAGGUAGUUAUUCCCUAGGAAUUCUUUAAGUUAGUGCAAUAUGGAUGACAAAAGGAGAGAGCAUGAAAGGGGGAGGGAGAGAGGGAGAGACAUAAAAGGGGGGGGGUAGAGGCAAGGCCUGCUCCCAUCCAGCACAGAAGGCCUGUGUGUUUCAGCCUUGUUCUCUUCUGCUCCCUCCUCCUAACUCUCCCAUACUCUUCUCUCCUCCUUCAGUUUUUCCUUUUCUCUUUCUGCUUUUACAUUCCUGUUAGCUAAACUCUGCCUAAAGCCAAGGCUACAAAUUCACUGGAAGCAAUACAAGACAUAAAGGAGGACAAUAGGCAAGAGCCAAGGGCCAUGAGGCAUAUUUUCACAGCAACCUAAGAACCCAAUUGUGUCUCGCAUGAAUUUGGGAGGCGGAAAAAUGAAAUUUUGUUUCUAACCACAGCUUCAAGCGUUAAACAACACUUCGCUCUGAUUUACCAUUUUACUUUUCUAUGGAGUAAACUGAAGUGGAUUCAAAUAGUUAUCCUUUCAAUGUACAUUUAUUUAUAUAAUAUAUGAUGACCACAUGCUAAGAAUCAGACAGAAGAGGGGGACAUUCGGGACAAAGAGAAUGAGAAAGAGUGCACUGCAGUGGGAAAGAUAGAACCAACAUGGGAAGAACGUAGUUCUGCUGUUACAGAGGCAUGGGGAGUCACAGGAGGACAGACCUGAUCCUCAUCACACACC